rnacentral:rRNA from 3 species
AAUCCCGUGAACCAUCGAGUCUUUGAACGCAAGUUGCGCCCGAAGCCUUCGGGCCGAGGGCACGCCUGCCUGGGCGUCACGCAUCGCGUCGCCCCCUCCCCCCGCUCCCGGGAGCGGGGGGUCGGAGACUGGCCUCCCGUGCGCUCCCGUCGCGCGGCCGGCCC